GACGAACGCUGGCGGCGUGCUUAACACAUGCAAGUCGAACGGUGAUGCUCCAGCUUGCUGGAGUGGAUCAGUGGCGAACGGGUGAGUAACACGUGAGCAACCUGCCCCAGACUCUGGAAUAAGCGCUGGAAACGGCGUCUAAUACUGGAUACGAAACUGGCCCGCAUGGGCAUGGUUUGGAAAGUUUUUCGGUUUGGGAUGGGCUCGCGGCCUAUCAGCUUGUUGGUGAGGUAAUGGCUCACCAAGGCGACGACGGGUAGCCGGCCUGAGAGGGCGACCGGCCACACUGGGACUGAGACACGGCCCAGACUCCUACGGGAGGCAGCAGUGGGGAAUAUUGCACAAUGGGCGAAAGCCUGAUGCAGCGACGCCGCGUGAGGGAUGACGGCCUUCGGGUGGUAAACCUCUUUCAGCAGGGAAGAAGCGAAAGUGACGGUACCUGCAGAAGAAGCACCGGCGAACUACGU
rnacentral:rRNA from 1 species